rnacentral:lncRNA from 1 species
GAGCCUCACGGAUUUGCUCAUCGCCCUCUGAACACCUGUUGCCUUCUCACUCCUCUGUGUCUUUGCACAUCCUUUCCCCAACCUCGUGCCAGGCCAUUGCAUUGUGAUCCAGGCUCAGUCUUUGUUCUGCUUCGUGGCAUCACAGUCCCUUAUUUGAAACUGAACCAGGACUGCAGUCUUCAACUUUGACAUCAAAUUUGACACCUCAGUGGCCCAAGCUUUCAGAAACUUGGAAUUGCAGACAUUAUGGAUUUGGACCUGCCCUCAGAGGAGCUACCUACUGAAAUAUUUACAAGUGAAAUGAUGUGAGAUGUGGGAUAUGAUUCAAAAUGAUCCUUUAUGUAUGAAGAGUGGGGCGUGGAGAAUGCAUGAAGACACAGAUAAAAUAAACGUGUCUAUGGGUUAAUA